GCGCAGCUUUUUACAAGAAGUCACGGGGGGUAGGGGCGAAAGAGGGUGAAAACCACCCUGCGGUCCUGCCGCGGCGGGGAGGAAACCUGCCGCCCCAGAGCCACGUGCUGAAGCCGGCGCUGGGUGGGUGGCUGGCCCCGCCCCGGAGUGGCUUGGGGAAGGGGGGGGCUUGCUGGGAAAGGCUGCAGGCCAACUUCCCGGGGGAGGAAGAGAACCCCGGGUGGACACCCUCGGCCCUGGGGCACCAGGGAACAAGGGUGUCUGGAGUAGGAGGUCCAGUUCCCUUCGAUGGGAGCAGCUCUGGCCUAGCCGGAAGAAAUGUACUGGCCUAACCUAACUUCCUCCCCUGACCCUGGUGGGAUGGGGUAGAGGCUGGAGACUCCCCCACACUUCACACCCUUCAAAGAGGAUGUAUGUCCCAGGGUUUCCAGAACCUCAGUAAAUAGAGGGUGGGUGGCGGUUUAGUGAAGGGGGUGGUGGUAGGAAGAUGGAAGGAAGCUGUAUAAAGAGGAGAGGAUUUUAAGAACAUGUGAAGAACAGCACUGGAUUCCUUGCGAAGGCAGAAGUAGCACAACAGCUGGGUGAACAAAACCCGCCCGGAUCUGUCCAGAGCUGUUUGUCAGCACAGCCUCGACAAGGACCCUGCUGAGAGCUCCCUUGGUAGGGGUUACCUCCUCCAGCAUUUCACAUUCUGAUUUCUCAUGGUUCUGGUUUGGACCCAGUUCAGUUGCCAUCUUCUCUGGGAAGCUCCUUUCUCCUGCCCCACGUUCUGAGUGCCCCUGGCUCAUGCAUCCAGGGGUUGGCCAAGAGGGCCCUUCAGCCCUGCGGUGCCGUAACUUGUCAAGACCAGGGGAGUCAUAGCAUGCUCGGCGAGGGCCCCACCACUGUGCCACUAGCCUUCUCAUCAGGUGAAAUUCAACACCUCAAAGAGGCAAUAAUUCAAGGUAUUAGUCCACACUUGUUGCUUCCAGAGUUGGUCAUCGCCUCUUAAGAGAAAAGAUGAGCCAUCUCAGCAAUGAACUAUCUGCCUACAGCUGGGAGUCAUCGGAAAAAAAAAAA